rnacentral:rRNA from 1 species
UUCGGAUUGUAGUCUGNAACCGACUACAUGAAGCUGGAAUCGCUAGUAAUCGCAGGUCAGCAUACUGCGGUGAAUACGUUCCCGGGUCUUGUACACACCGCCCGUCACACCAUGGGAGCCGGAAAUGCCCGAAGCCAGUGACCCAACCUUAGGGAGGGAGCUGUCGAAGGUGGAGCCGGUAACUGGGGUGAAGUCGUAACAAGGUACC